rnacentral:rRNA from 1 species
GACGAACGCUGGCGGCGUGCUUAACACAUGCAAGUCGAACGAAGUGGCGAACGGGUGAGUAACGCGUAAUCAACCUGCCCUUCAGAGGGGGACAACAGUGGAAAAGGACUGCUAAUACCGCAUACUGAAGGAGGGGAUUGCGUCUGAUGAGCUAGUUGGAGGGGUAACGGCCCACCAAGGCGAUGAUCAGAAGCCGGGCCGAGAGGAUGAACGGCCAAAUUGGGACUGAGACACGGGCCAGACUCCUAAGGGAGGCAGCCGUGGGGAAUUUUUCGCAAUGGACGAAAGUCUGACUGAGCAACGCCGCGUGAGUGAUGACGGGCUUCGGGUUGUAAAGCUCUGUUAAUCGGGACGCGGUACCGGAAUAGAAAGCAACGGCUAACUCCGUGCCAGCAGCCGCGGUAAUAC